AUUGAACGCUGGCGGCAUGCCUUACACAUGCAAGUCGAACGGCAGCACGGGAGCAAUCCUGGUGGCGAGUGGCGAACGGGUGAGUAAUAUAUCGGAACGUGCCCAGUCGUGGGGAUAACGUAGCGAAAGCUACGCUAAUACCGCAUACGAUCUAUGGAUGAAAGCGGGGGAUCGCAAGACCUCGCGCGAUUGGAGCGGCCGAUAUCAGAUUAGGUAGUUGGUGAGGUAAAGGCUCACCAAGCCGACGAUCUGUAGCUGGUCUGAGAGGACGACCAGCCACACUGGGACUGAGACACGGCCCAGACUCCUACGGGAGGCAGCAGUGGGGAAUUUUGGACAAUGGGCGCAAGCCUGAUCCAGCAAUGCCGCGUGCAGGAUGAAGGCCUCGGUGUAACUAGCUUUGUUACGGUACG
rnacentral:rRNA from 1 species